UACGUAGGGGGCUAGCGUUGUCCGGAUUUAUUGGGCGUAAAGAGCUCGUAGGCGGCCCGAUAAGUCCGCUGUGAAAGUCAAGGGCUCAACCCUUGAAUGCCGGUGGAUACUGCAGGGCUAGAGUCCGGAAGAGGCGAGUGGAAUUCCGGGUGUAGCGGUGGAAUGCGUAGAGAUCCGGAAGAACACCGGAGGCGAAGGCGGCUUGCUGGGCUUGGUCUGACGCUGAGGCGCGAAAGCGUGGGGAGCGAACAGG
rnacentral:rRNA from 1 species